GGGUGGAGCUAGGGAAAGCCUUCAUGGGAAGGGUUUCAUCUUUCUGAACAUUCACCACACUGGUGGACAAAUCCUUUUUGUGUGAGGAAGAUGUGGCUGUUGGGAGAGUCAAGUAAUUGAAUGACGUGAAUUUCCUGGAGUUUCCAUAAGUUCCUGUAAAUUUAGCCUCCAACUGAAAUAAACCAACUGAAUGUAAGACAUCAGACCCUAAAGAACCAAAGUUGUUAUUUCUGUGGAAGACCAGCCAACCUAUUCUCACAGCUGAAACAAGGGAUCUGGCCUGCAAACAGAGUGUUAAGGCAUUCUCCAAGUUUCAAAACAAGAGUACACCAUUUUGAAGGCCUAUAAAUAGAAAGAAUUUUUCAAAUAUUAAUUCAGUAAUGACCUCUGUCUUUGGAAAAGAUAAUUGCAAUGUGUUACUGCGAACCAAUUUAAACCUGUAUUGCUCAUUGCAUUUAAUAUUUAAUUUUGUUUUUUAUCAUUAUAUAUCAACAGUUCUUUCUGGAGCAAAGCAAUCCUAUUUGACUUUUUUUUUUUUAACCUUAUAGUGCACACACACAUGUAGGUGUAGGGUUAUUUAAACAAGGAAACAUUUACAUCAAAAUGUGCAAAGAGUUAUCCUGGAAUAGAAAUGCUGAAAAUAUAUUUUCAAGAAGUUUUAAAAUUCUAGGCUGGCCUCAAUGUAUUCAGUAGCAUGUCAGAAACAGAAAAAAAAUUUAAUCUCUCCAUUUGCUUAUUCCUAUUAACAUAUAUAGAAAAAAAAGUUGCUCUAAACCUAAUGCCUAUGCGAUGUGUUUGUUUCCUGAUGCUGACGAUAAAUCAUAACUGGGCACUUGGUUAUAUUUUUUAAUGUUCUACAUUUCUAGCACUGCUACUGUGUUCACAAUGAGCUUUAUAUCUGACAGUAAUUUUAUUUUCAGGUUCAGUCAUAUGAUGCCUUUCUAUAGGAAUAGGUUCUAUCACAGGAACAAAUUAUUCAAAUCUAGUUUAAUGGACUCAGCAAUUCUCCUCAGUUUUAUCCUGGGCAUUUUGUAUUCCUUUGCCUAAACCUAGUGGCUAUGUAACAAUUCAAUUACCAAAGUCCUUCAUCCAGAAAGUGCUGUUGAUUUCCAGUAAUUCUUAUUCUGUUUGAUUUCUUUUUUUUUUCCUCCUAGUUUAACACAUGCCAGUUGGUGUCCACUGAGUUAAAAAUCUUGAAAUAAGCCUGGCACUGUGUCAGUACAUAGGUUAAAAAGUGAAACAAAAAAUUUUAAUAAAAUAUACACUAGAAAUGGAAAAUAAGAUUAGCAGUGGCAUUUCUUGUCAUAAGGGCAUUUUCUGUCUAUGCACACAAAAUAAAACCAGCUCAGUGUAGCUGAAGAAGAGAGGAAAGAGAGAGAUGGUAUAAAUUGAAAGAUGAAAAGGCAGAGACUGAGUGUACAGAAGCGUGUUGAGAGCAUGCAGUCAGCUGGCAAGAAAAGGCAACUCGAAGAGCCUCAGAAGGUAAAACCUCAGUUGGCAGAUAAAGUGGGUAAGAAGCAAGUUUUGAAAUAAAAUAGCAAUAGCAUAAGCAACUUGAAGGAAGAUGAAAAGAGCAAGGUGAUAAAAGUAUGCAAGAGUCUUUGGAGAUUAUUAGUAAUUUUAGGGAAUUACAAUGAUGAAAAGUUAUAAGGGAAAAAGACUUUACAUAUUCUUUAAUAAAAGAAAAUUACCUGUCAAAAUCUGUCUGCAUAGACACUAGUAUUAGAUUCUUGUUCUUCAAGAAAAAGGCAUGUCUGCUGGUCAGAUUGAGGUUCAUCUAUCUUCUAUUUCUCUAAAUAAUGUUUUUCUGAUAAAAUAUGCAAAUACACACAUACACAUAUAUAUUUUGUGUGUAUAUUAUGUGUAUAUGUGUGUGUGUGUACAUACUUAUACAUAAACACUCUGGAACUAAAAUUUCAAAGAAAGUCAAAGAAAAUAGACAGUAAUGGAACUCCGCAAAACUUACCAGUAACCUGAAAUAGUGUAACAAAUUUAAAAUUAAUUCCCAUAAAUCUUCUACAU
rnacentral:lncRNA from 1 species